rnacentral:rRNA from 1 species
AGCGAACGCUGGCGGCAGGCUUAACACAUGCAAGUCGAGCGGGCAUAGCAAUAUGUCAGCGGCAGACGGGUGAGUAACGCGUGGGAACGUACCUUUUGGUUCGGAACAACACAGGGAAACUUGUGCUAAUACCGGAUAAGCCCUUACGGGGAAAGAUUUAUCGCCGAAAGAUCGGCCCGCGUCUGAUUAGCUAGUUGGUGAGGUAAUGGCUCACCAAGGCGACGAUCAGUAGCUGGUCUGAGAGGAUGAUCAGCCACAUUGGGACUGAGACACGGCCCAAACUCCUACGGGAGGCAGCAGUGGGGAAUAUUGGACAAUGGGCGCAAGCCUGAUCCAGCCAUGCCGCGUGAGUGAUGAAGGCCCUAGGGUUGUAAAGCUCUUUUGUGCGGGAAGAUAAGGACGGUACCGCAAGAAUAAACCCCGGCUAACUUCGU